CCGUAUUGGUCCGAAUACAAGACGGCCUUUUUCCCCAUCGAAAUACGUCCGAAAAAGUUGGGUCGUCUUAUAUUCGGGGUCUAGUAUUCAGAGCACAGCUCUAAUUGUUCGCCUGUCCCUUUAAAUGUCAAUACACAUGACGCGCUCUGGGAGGAGCAGGGGAGCGAUGACAGUGAGAGCGAACACAGUGGGGCGGAGGACGAAUAGAGAGGAGACAUCGGAGGAGAAGUUUGGCGAGUUUUAGUUUAGCGGUAGUUUAGUUAAAAGUGUUGCCUGUAUUUCCUCUGUUAUUUCAAAAUGUUAAAAACAUGUUGAUAAUAUUGCUUGAUUGUUAAUCGAUUUUAAUUUUGAAUCAUACUGUACAUAGUUCGGCCUUGUGAAACACUUUGUUUUGAAAAGUGCUGUAGGCCUAUACCGAUAAAUACGGUAUGUUAAUUAUUAUUAUAAUUAUUAAUACAACAGGUGUUUCAUUCAAUGUGUUUUUAAUAUUGUUAUUUUCAAAUAAAAUGAAGUUCUUUAAAAAAAGUUCUUUAUAAAAACAA